rnacentral:SRP_RNA from 1 species
GCCGGGACAAUAACGGGCGCGCCCCCCGGCCGAGGCUCGAGGACGAUCGCUACGCGUCGUACGACCGCCCGCGCGACGAGUGGGGCCGCGACGACGCCUUUUUUGCGCCGAGAAAAGGGGGCAGCCGCCGCAAAGAGGAGGAGGGCGCCCGGCCGGGAAGGGAGCAGGCGCGCCGGGGGCUGUACGCGCUCACCAGGCUUCAGGAGGAGGAGAACUGGGAGAGGGAGCA